CCUACGGGUGGCAGCAGUGAGGAAUAUUGGUCAAUGGGCGAGAGCCUGAACCAGCCAAGUCGCGUGAAGGAUGACGGCCCUACGGGUUGUAAACUUCUUUUGUCAGGGAGCAAUUGAGUCCACGUGUGGGCGUAGCGAGAGUACCCGAAGAAAAAGCAUCGGCUAACUCCGUGCCAGCAGCCGCGGUAAUACGGAGGAUGCGAGCGUUAUCCGGAUUUAUUGGGUUUAAAGGGUGCGUAGGCGGAAUAUCAAGUCAGCGGUAAAGAUUCGGGGCUAAACCCCGUCGUGCCGUUGAAACUGGUGUUCUUGAGUGGGCGAGAAGUAUGCGGAAUGCGUAGUGUAGCGGUGAAAUGCGUAGAUAUCACGCAGAACUCCGAUUGCGAAGGCAGCAUACCGGCGCCCAACUGACGCUGAAGCACGAAAGCGUGGGUAUCGAACAGGAUUAGAUACCCGAGUAGUC
rnacentral:rRNA from 1 species